UACAGAGGGGGCAAGCGUUGUUCGGAAUUACUGGGCGUAAAGGGCGCGUAGGCGGCCUGUUAAGUCGAACGUGAAAUCCCUGGGCUCAACCCAGGAACUGCGUCCGAUACUGGCAGGCUUGAAUUCGGGAGAGGGAUGUGGAAUUCCAGGUGUAGCGGUGAAAUGCGUAGAUAUCUGGAGGAACACCGGUGGCGAAGGCGGCAUCCUGGACCGAUAUUGACGUUGAGGCGCGAAAGCCAGGGGAGCAAACGGG
rnacentral:rRNA from 1 species